AUUAGUACCACAGUAGUAGUGUUGGUUAAGAGUUUAGUUUGCCGUAUUUAAAUUCUUAGAUGAAAACCGAAGCGAAAGGAAAAGAUCUGUGACUAGAAGGAGUUUGUGUUUGCUUACAUGGCAAUUCUUUAAAGUACUGCUGGAAAACUUCACUCUUUGUCUGACACGUCAUCCAACUACUCUUGGGUUUAGAAUAUGCUUCAAAAGCCAAAUGUGAUUCAGAAAUGAAUGUUUUUUCUCAGAUAAAGCCAACUGAAAAGAUGCGUUAACUCUGAAGUAACAUCAUGGGCAACAUACACACUGUUGGACCAAAUGAAGUUCUCUUUGU